CCGCAUGCGCGCACGGCGAGUAAUAUCUUUACUAUUCCUUGAUUUGCAGUGCGUCCGUCCGUGGUAGGCUCGCAGGCUCCGCCCGCCCGCCUCUUCCGACUUCCGAGUCCCGCAAACACCCGACCCGCUGCGCCUCUCCUCCUCUCGCAGAAACGCAAAGGAAAAGAAAUCUCCCCGCUUCCCUCGCCGCAGCCUGCUCGCCCGCUCCAUCUGCCCACAUAGAGCCGCCGUCCACCGCGCCGACGCCGCCCUCCUACCCCGCAGGCCGCGGACGAUGACGCCGCGCUCCACCGCGGACGCCGCCGCCAUCGCCCUCCACCACGGAUGCCGCGGGAUAAGGAGAUGGUGGCAGCAUCGAGAUCCAGGCGGCCGGCACGUGCGUCCUCCCGCCGCUACGUCCGACGGCGCCGCCGCAGCCCUGUGGCUGUCCCUCCCACACCACCGCCGCAGCCCCGCCAUCCGCAGGUGGCCGCGCCGCCACGACCACCGAAUCCUACUGGCCGCUCCGAUGCUGCCUCGUGGGAGCACCAGGAGGCUGAGGGGCCGUGCCCCCGUGUGUAUGAAUCACGCAGGUCAUAUUAUGGUCUUACGUGUUCAGCAGCAAAGAUAAAAUCUGAGGUGCUGGUAUAUCUCUGUACAAAGCCCUACAAAAACUGCCCCUUCUAAUGAAACAAGGGGUGUCGGCAAACUGUUGUGGAUGAGAAGUACAUUAUAUAAGACGUCAUUGGGAAAUCCAGAGUGCAGUCACAUUGAGCUUGCCCAAGAAGGCCACUGCCCACCAUGUGAGGUAUUGUACUGUCUAUGCACGGGAAGAAGCUUGCAGUUUUAUUGUGCAGGAUUAGCUACCUACAAUUGUUUUAUAGAUUCUCCUUGGCACUGAUUAUCACACGUGCAAUGCUGGAUCAAUCAGUCAAUUUGCAGGUGCUCCACAUUUCAUUGUAUACGGGUAUUUGUAUCACACAUGCAUCAUUUCACAUUUUUUUGUUUGAUAAGCGCUCCAAGAUUUUCAAAGGGGGUGUUUCGAGCGCCGAUUCGCCUCCGCAGGUAAGCCUGACGACCACUGUCGCCGUUCCCCUCCUCCGCCACCGUCGCGCAAUAUGAUUCCUUAAUCCACUUUAUACUGAUCAUGCCUUCUCAUUACUACCCUCUGUUGAGAUGAUCUACCCAACUGUAGACAAUUUUAGAACAAUUUUGAACUGAGGAAUUUGGAUUGUGCCAGAGUUUGGGGUGAAUUAGGUGUAACAACAUCUAGCAAGCAUUGAUAUCUUAAUUUCUUUCAGCUUGUUCUACUUUGUGAUUAGCAUAUCCUAGAUAGAAAAAGAGUGAUUCACAAUGCAGGGGGAGGGGUGCUAUUGUGUCUCAGUAAGUAAUUACUUCAAUGUUACGUAUCAUGUAUGAAGGUACAACUUCUGACCUAUAAACUCUGUUGUUGUGAAGGUUAGUACCUUAUUCAAUUAUUGAUCAUGACAAGAAAGAACAUUUGUCCUAUCUGCGUCCAGGAAAGAUGGGCUUCCAAAUUAAGGUAAGCUAAUUUAAUUUGUAGAACUGAUAUGGGUUAUGGAUUAUCAUACGUAUCUGAUUUUUCAUUUUCCAUGGUGGAAUUGGAAGGGCUAAUUUCAGUUGCAAGGUAAGAACAUUUUUCAUUGUACAAUUGUACCUAACUUGCAGUAGCUAAUUUCAGUUACAUGAGAAUCAGAAGAGCUAGAAGAAGGGUAGAAACUGAGAACCAUGCAUCUACAUAUUGUAAUCUUACCCUGGUUCCAAUAUAUAACAGCAGUAAAAACUGUUGGUCAACAAGGUAAAUAAGCGUUUUCUUUUCCUUCUGCUUUACUGCCUUUUGCAGAUGCACAUGAAUCCUGGUAGGCGAUUUGUCUCUCUUUACUGCUCUGCACUGUUAUUUUUUUCCUUAUCUAACACUGACGUCUAAAACUGAUAUGGGUUUAUCCUAUAGAGCUAGAACAAAGUUCUAAUCUUGUAGAUCUCAAACAAAUCGAUAAUUUUCUGUAGGCGCAGCUACUGAUGCAGCCGGUACCUGCGUAUUUGAUGACAUCACGUAUACUGCUAGCAAACCACUAUUUAGAGAAUAAGGUGUUUCAUGGGGGCAUUGUCGUAAGGUAUCGUCAGCCAGUUCACAUACUUGAUUGCAAUUUCAUGUGUUUUCUUCUUACUCUUGUGCACUACACCUGCGCUGCCAGUUACUUCCUUUCGUAUGGCAUAUUUCUAUUCACCUUCGUUUUUUGGUACUCCCAGUUUCUAAUACAAAGGGACAAUGUAUCUCUGGUUAGUGUUGUAGUGUGUAAGAUGACUCGACAAAGUAUAUGAGCAUCGGGCUGUCCUUAUCUAUGAUUUAGCUGACAUGGAUGUUUCUACAUUUUUAAAUGCCUGACCCAGUGACCCUUCUGAUUAGAUUUAAUCAAGCAAUAAUGCUACAAUAUGAAUUGUGAACAGUUGGUCAGGCUAUGGAAUUCUUUUAAUGCUUCAUUUUUUUUCAAUUUUAUGUACUGUUGGUCCAAACUUAAAGAUUGAAGUCUGAACUUCUGCUUGGCAUCUUAAGUUCUUAGCCUGAUGUAAAUUAUUACAACUCUUGCCUUUUUUCAUGUUGCUAAACCGGAUGCAUGGAAGGAGAGGCUAGCUUCAAACACAUUUGAUCGAAAUGUAUAAAUGUUUGUGUAUCGCUAUAGUUACCUGGAGGCAGAAUAUACAUAGCAAAAUAUACAUUCCUGCUGAUUCAGUUUACUGAACUCGAGAAGGUUCUUAGACUUAGAAGGUAACUGAUCCUAUGGCCGAAGCCUCAAAGGUGUCUCCCAGCGAAUGACAUGCCUUUUUAAUAAGAGUUCAUAAAGUUCCUGUGGUGAAGCAACACUUUCAAUCUUGUUGUAGACAUACAUUCUCUGCAUAUAGUUUCUCUUAUUUUGUUUACAAGA